CUGGCCCUCUUUUUUGUUUUUUUAAAAUUAAUUUUAUUGGUACAUGUUAGGUAUACAAUAUAAUGACAUUCAUCAUCGGGAAGUUGCACCUUUAUGUAAUCUCCCUUGGUUCUUAUUUAUUGUAUGUUUCUUGACAGUCCAAGGUUUAGCAUAGUGGACCAAUCCAAAGGGCUCCAACUCCAACAAGGGACAAGGUGACAAAACUGGGUUAAAUUUGUGACUCAGGAACUUUCAACUGAGUCGCUACAAUAAAAUCCUGGGAUUUUUUGAGAUGUAAGUUUAGUUUUUUGUAAAAUGGGAAAACAAUCCCGAAUUUACAGAGUGGAGGUGAGGAUGAAAUGAGGACGUACGUGUUUACUAAAUGGACAAAUGAACAGUGAGUGGCCAGACCCUAUGGAAGAGAGCUGCGACCUCCGCUGACAGCCAUACGCCCAGAAGACCAAUCUCCGUGCUAGAGCAACUAGUCCAGGGGCCAUCCUGCUGUAGGCCUGUGUAGCUACGCUGGUAUCUCUGGUAAGAAUCCAAGAAGCUACACGAUAACUCCACUAACCAUGUAACCAGAACUUAAUCAGUAACUGAGAGCAUCCCUCAUUUACAUCCCUACUUCCAACUUUGGACCAACAGAGAGCCACAAAUGAAGCCCCUAACCAAUUACAUGGGAUGUUUUGCUUUGAGCCUACAGCUUCCCCAGACUGGAAAGGCCUCCAAUCAGAGAACCUGAACCUUUUUCUCUACUGUGAAGAUUUCCCAGCCCUCUGCCUUGCUUUGAAUCUCUACUAAAUGCAAGUGACCGUGGCUGACUCCCUGCCUAUAGCAAACCCUGCUUAAAGAGCCUUUGCUCAUUCUCAUUUGGAUGGUCUUGGACGUUUCUGCAGUGUAAACAGACCUAUCAUGGUGACUUAUAUGUUGCCAUCAACUAUGCCAUGAACAAUUUCCUAUGUCACCUUCUUCCACUGUGAUGUUUCUGCCUUGGAGUUAGCUAACCAAGGACUGAAUUACCUGAAACCAUGAGCCAAAUUAAUCUCCUCCCCCUUUAAGAGACACGGAGCAGUAAGAAUGAUAGAUGCAGGAGCCCGAGCAAAGGCGAGGUGUGCAGAGCUUCAAAAGGAGAUGGUCAGCCCUGUCCAGACCCCUGUAUGCUGUGUAUCUGGAGAACAGAGGAGAUGCUGGAGAAUUUGUGAAAAGCUGCAGGUGAUCUACAGAGAGGAACAGGUGGACAUGGGGGAGAUUCCUUGGGUUGAAUCACUCAGAAUUUAUACUAUGAAUCACAUUUGGAAAUUGGAUGCAAAUGAAAGCUAAUUACCAUAUUCAAAAAAUCAGAACCAUUUGAAAAAUUGGAUUCUGUUGUAGGCUUCCUAGGGGUUUGCUGUUGAUUUUAUUGUUUAAUUUUGCAUUUUCCCCUGCAGAGUCAUAACAUUUUACUUUCAGCUAGAGUUUAUUCCAGAGAUCUGUGUCUGGAUUCCAGCAGCAGCUAUUGUGUUCAUGGAGAGACUUUAAGAAGUCUGCUACCCACUGAUACUGUAUGUAAAAUAUAUAAUUUUGAGUCUAAAGCUUUCUUCAGAUUCUCAAAAAAGUCUGGAAUGUAGCACCUUUCUUCUACCUUCCCCAAGUACAGGUUGACUAGACUAUACUUCUUUUCUUUUUUUAAUUGAGUUCAUUGGUACAUUUUAGAUAUACAAUAUGAUGAGAUUUUUCAUUGGAAAUUUGUACCUUUACAUAAUAUAUCUUGGUUUUUAUUUUUUCCCUAUUCCCCUGCCCUCCCUUCAUAUACGUGCAAAGUGGGCUUUCUUUGGAGAAAACAGCUGUCCCAAGUUGACACUGCAGCUGGGAUAUGAAGUCAGCCUUCUAUCCUGGUUCUAAAAUUAUGAUUGUUUUAGUGAAGUGCAAGACUUCACUAAAGGUCAGAGAGCUGACGUCCUCUGUGAGUAGGGUGCUAUGUGAGCACAGACUCCUAAGGUGAUUAAGACUUUCUCCCGAGCCUCCAGGAAACCUAGAAGACCAUGGUUAUCCAGAAGCGCCUUUGGGGCUCCCUUUGCUACAAGUGUUUGGGGCUUCACUGCCUUCCAAAUAAGAAACCCCUAUUUGCACAAGGUGCUUGGGAAGCAAGCAUUCUACUUUCAAAGCCCUAAUAAUAAAAGCAGGGCAGGGAAAACUAGAAAAUAAUUACUAUGACAACUGGGUUGCACUACACUAGCUGAAAGAGGGGUGCCUCCCUCCUUGACCAUCACAAUUUUGAUACUUUUAGGAGACACAAACAUAAGCACAUUUCUGCCCCAAAGAGCAACUUCCUGUCUUUUUCACCAGGUACAAGAUUGCUAGGUCUCUAUCUAAACUGCACUUAGUUGACCAGUUUCUACUUUGUUUCUUGGUAAAGGCAUGAUAUGGGUCUGAAAAUAGGGAUGGUAUCCCUGUGAGGCGAAUCCUGAGGUGUGAGUCUUCUCUCGAAUAUUAACUGCCAGUGGAGGCCAGAAUCAGGAACAGAGUUUAUGUUCUCCUUCAUAUUGUCAGCAUAACUCCACAGUUAGAAAAACCUAGAGAUUAUUUGAGUUUCAUUUACCUACAUGCUUUGAAAAAUGGUGUACUGUCUUGAGUUGUUCUUAAGAUUUUAUUUGCAUUUCUGUUUCUCAGCCAAUGAAUAGGGCAAAUGAAGAGGGAUUUAAGACUGGCUCAGUUCUUUGCAUAUCUUGCUUUGGACGCAGUUAAGAACCUGAAAUCUCCUGUGUUUAGCUAAGGGCACUUAGGAACCAUGCCCUCAGCUCAUCACUGACUGAGGGUCUACUUUAAGGACUCUGAUAAAAACUACACUUGAAUAAUGACCAUCCAGCUGCUGUUCUGCAAAAGCUCAUGGUCUUGUUGGAAAGAUGGACACACCCAGCAUGGAAACAGCGCAGUCUCAUAUGGGCUGAAUUGUAUACUCUUAAAAUUUAUAUGCAUAAUUCUUAAUUCCCAGUACCUCAGAAUGUGACUGUAUUUGGAGGAGCCUGAGCCCCUUCAAGACAAGAGCUCUACCUUUUGUGUCUGUUUGCAGCUUGUGGUGUGUCUGAACUGCCUACAGCACUUACUUUGCACACAGGGGCACUCUUGAGAGUCCGGUGGAUAACUGCCUCUGUACAGUAGGCUCAACCCGGGCCAUCCUAGGCAAACAGAAGAACUUUGCUCCAGACAUAUAUUUUCCAAGAUUAUAUCACUUUGAGCCAACUCUUUGAACUCCAGACAGAACUUGAAACAGUUGCUGAGCUAGCCAGCAGUUGACAGCUGGGGACGUUUGAGCUUUUUCAUGCAGUGGCAAUUGGGAGACCUUAUCAUUGUGCAUUAUUGGAUUGUGGCUGUGCAAAAAACCAGGCAUGUGUGAGAUGAGAUAUUCCCUCUCCAUCCAGGGAAUGACAAAACCAUCUCAGGAGGAGGUUGAUAUGCGCGUCUGUUGGCAGAGAUCUUUCCUGGCAUUCUGGAGAUUUCUGGGGUGUACAUACUGAGGUCACAUCAGAAUAUCUGCAGAAAUAAAAGCAAAAAGCAGCCAGACAAGAAAAGUGAGAAGAAGUGGAUGUCCCUGCUGGAGACAAUGACUAAUUUAAGCAAGGUGGUAAGAGAAAAACUUUUUUUUCUUUGUGCCAGUUCCUUUUGUAUGACUUCAGGACAUUCUCUGACAGCCCAGUGUGCAACUUGGUGCUGUCAGAGAGACCUGGAAAAGAGAAUGAGGGCAGGAGGAAAUAAAACCAGAAUACUAUUUCCGAGAGCCUGGAGAUACCUUCCAGAAUUUUCUACUCUAGGAGUGAAAAGGGAGAUGAAAACAUUUAGACAAGGACAAUUUUCUCCCUCAACCCAUCCUUUUCACUGGAGGCAAGAAGAGAAUGAAUGAUCAUUUGCAUCUAUCUAGGGUUUUUCCUAUGGCAAAGAAUUUUGUCAGGAAAAUCAAGGACAUUUUCUAGUGGAAUUGCCUUUGUGUCAAAUAAUACUGCACACCCAGAGCAGAAAACCAUGACUCUUUCUACCUCAUGUUGGGGCCCCCUUGUCUAAACCUCUUCUUUGUUAUCAACAGACACGAGAGUCCAUAGUUACUACUUGUAAUGUGUAAUGGCGUUUCUGUACCUUCUAUAUUUCUGGAGCCACUGAGAUAGAUACUUGAGGGUUUCAAAGGAGACACUUUUUCAUUAAAAAAGAAGAAAGGCCAUUUCUGAUACUUAAGGGAGCUGUGGCUUGCUCUGAGUAGGCCAACUAACCAGUGUGGGCUCAGCAGAGGAGGGUUCUCCAAGGUGUGCUGGGGGAGGGCAGGUGCCAAGCUGGGCUGACAGAGGGCAGGUGCUGAAAGGCAUGCUCAGAGUGCGGCAGUUCUGCACUUGCGGGGAGAGAGAGUGACUGCUUUGCUCUCUUGCCCUUCUCCCUUGGUUGCCUUCCUUCUCACUUCGUGGUUGAAUAUUUGAUGUUGUGGCUCUUCAAGGACUAGCUAACACUUUCUUCCUUCCUUCCCUUACUGCUUGCUGAUAUUAUGGUGUGCACAGCCUUGGGUUGCUAGGCAACUCAAUUGUAUGUGUAUUUGUGGGUAUUUUAUGUAUGUGGUAUAUGUGUAUGUGGGGGUUUUAUGUGUGGUGUGUAAGUAUAUAUAUAUAUGCAAUGUGUAUACACAUGUGUGUUAUGUAUCAUCUGUAGUAGUGUGUAUGUGAGUGUUGUGUAUGUGAUAUAUGUUUGAUAUGUAUAUAAAGUGCAUUUUGUAUGUGUCUUGUGUAUGUUUUAUGUGUGCUGUUUAUUAUAUUGUAUUAUAUAUGAUAUAUAUAUGUUAUCUAUGUGGUACAUUGUUUUCUUGUGUUGU
ensembl:lncRNA